rnacentral:rRNA from 1 species
UACGUAGGGAGCAAGCGUUGUUCGGAUUUACUGGGCGUAAAGGGCGCGUAGGCGGCAAUUCAAGUCAGCUGUGAAAUCUCCGGGCUUAACUCGGAACGGUCAGCUGAUACUGCUUUGCUAGAGUGCGGAAGGGGCAAUCGGAAUUCUCGGUGUAGCGGUGAAAUGCGUAGAUAUCGAGAGGAACACCUGAGGUGAAGACGGGUUGAUGGGCCGACACUGACGCUGACAGCGCGAAAGCCAGGGGAGCAAACGGG